rnacentral:lncRNA from 1 species
ACAUAUAAUGCAUGCAUUAGGUAAUCUGUCGUGUCAUCACUCCCAAGUCCCUUGGGUAACGGGCCUUCUUCCGAUCCUACGUGAGUGUAGGAUACUUUGUGCAUCAGGAGCUUUUUUUUCUUCGUUAUUUUUUAAUUAGUAGUUUAAAAAAAUUAUAAUGUGUUAUAACAUGUUAUUACUGUAUUUUCUAGGUUACCGUGUAUAUAUAUAUAUAUAUAUAUUCUUGCGUGUCUUCCAUUGUUUUCAUCUACUGCAUUGGUUAUUAUGCUA